GGCUCCAUAGUGUAGUGGUUAGCAUGCCUGCUUUACACACAGAAGGUCCUGAAUUUGUGCCCCAGGUGGAGCCA
rfam:Pteropus alecto contig96956, whole genome shotgun sequence.